rnacentral:rRNA from 1 species
AAUCAACGCUGGCGGCGUGCCUCAGACAUGCAAGUCGAACGCGAAAGGCCCCUUCGGGGGCCCGGUAGAGUGGCGCACGGGUGAGUAACACGUAGGUAAUUUGCCUUCGGGUGGGGAAGUAACAGCCGGAAACGGCUGCUAAUACCGCAUAAUGCAGCGGCUCGACAUCGAGACAGUUGUUAAAGCGGGGGAUCGCAAGACCUCGCGCCUGAAGAGAAGCCUGCGGCAGAUUAGCUUGUUGGUGAGGUAAUGGCUCACCAAGGCGACGAUCUGUAACCGGCCUGAGAGGGCGGUCGGUCACACUGACACUGACAUACGGGUCAGACU